rnacentral:lncRNA from 1 species
UAAUUCUUAGUUUUGUGUAAAUAAUGAAUAACCUAAUUGGCUGCUUUCCAAAUAUUUAUCCUAGAGUUAAUUAAAUAUCUGCCUAGAAUUCAAAUAAUGAAUGUCAUAUCUAGACGUAUGCUAAAUCUUAGAAGGGAAUUUCUAUAUUUUCUUUUCUUUAAGUUUAUCUUUGGAACAUUAAUUAAAACUAAACUUGUAUCCCUUAAUAUUAGGGAUACCACCUAAUUUACAAUCCUACAUCCCAAAUCUUUUAAGAAC